CCUACGGGAGGCAGCAGUGAGGAAUAUUGGUCAAUGGACGAGAGUCUGAACCAGCCAAGUAGCGUGAAGGAUGACUGCCCUAUGGGUUGUAAACUUCUUUUAUAAAGGAAUAAAACGAGGCACGUGUGCCUUUUUGCAUGUACUUUAUGAAUAAGGAUCGGCUAACUCCGUGGCAGCAGCCGCGGUAAUACGGAGGAUCCGAGCGUUAUCCGGAUUUAUUGGGUUGAAAGGGAGCGUAGAUGGGUUGUUAAGUCAGUUGUGAAAGUUUGCGGCUCAACCGUAAAAUUGCAAUUGAUACUGGCAGUCUUGAGUACAGUUGAGGUAGGCGGAAUUCGUGGUGUAGCGGUGAAAUGCUUAGAUAUCACGAAGAACCCCGAUUGCGAAGGCAGCUUACUAAACUGUGACUGACAUUGAUGCUCGAAAGUGUGGGUAUCAAACAGGAUUAGAUACCCCUGUAGUC
rnacentral:rRNA from 1 species